GACGAACGCUGGCGGCGGGCUUAACACAUGCAAGUCGAACGGAAAGGCCCUGCUUUUGUGGGUUUCUCGAGUGGCGAACGGGUGAGUAACACGUUAGUAACCUGCCCUUGACUUUAUGAUAACUUCAGGAAACUGGGGCUAAUACCCGAUAGGAGCUCCUGCUGCAUGGUGGGGGUUGGAAAGUUUCGGCGGUUGGGGAUGGACUCGCGGCUUAUCAGCUUGUUGGUGGGGUUGUGGCUUACCAAGGCUUUGACGGGUAGCCGGCCUGAGAGGGUGACCGGCCACAUUGGGACUGAGAUACGGCCCAGAGUCCUACGGGAGGCAGCAGUGGGGAAUAGUGCACAAUGGGCGGAAGCAUGAUGCAGCAACGCCGCGUGAGGGAUGACGGACUUCGGGUUGUAAACCGCUUUCGCCUGUGACGAAGAGUGAGUGAAGGUAAUGGGUAAAGAAGCACCGGCUAACUACGUG
rnacentral:rRNA from 1 species